GUAGGGAAUAUUGGGCAAUGGAUGCAAGUCUGACCCAGCCAUCCCGCGUGCCGGAAGAAGGCCCUCAGGGUUGUAAACGGCUUUUGACGGUGAAGAAUCGACAGGAUGCGUCCUGUUUUGACGGUAGCCGUUGAAUAAGCACCGGCUAACUCCGUGCCAGCAGCCGCGGUAAUACGGAGGGUGCGAGCGUUGUCCGGAUUUAUUGGGUUUAAAGGGUGCGUAGGCUGGAAGGUCAGUCAGCGGUGAAAAGCUGUCGCUUAACGAUAGUCUUGCCGCAGAUACUUCCUUUCUUGGAUGAGGAGGAGGCCACUGGAACGGAUGGUGUAGCGGUGAAAUGCAUAGAUAUCAUCCAGAACACCGAUUGCGAAGGCAUGUGGCUGUACCUUAAUCGACGCUGAUGCACGAAAGCAUGGGGAGCAAACAGGAUUAGAAACCCGGGUAGUCC
rnacentral:rRNA from 1 species